UCCUCGUUGGGUCGUUCUUCGUCGCAUGGGUAAUCCCUCUUCGUUAACUCUUGGCUUCGUUAUUCGCGUGAAACAGCCUUGUCUCUUAUUCACUUCUCGGAACUUGUUGAAGGAAGUUCUGCGUUCUUCCUAACUGAGGAGAGAAAAAAAUAUGUAGUCCGUCACGUGGCCAAUGAAGAGACCGCGAUCCCAACCCACCAAUCAGGAGCGAGGAGGUGGUGACGUCACGCGCCAUCUCGAACGCGAUUGGUCCUCCUCGAUGGUACGGCCGGCCUUGAGGAUCCGCGGCGGCACCCCGUCAGUGCCAGGCAUUUAAAUGUGGCUUACACGGCUCUCCUCAGUCAGCGAGAUUCAGAUGGAGUGAGUGCCAGGUCAGCAAUCAUCCCCAGUCUAGCUCAGCUGUUUUGGAGAGUCCAGUUGCUUUCGAAAUCAGAGAAUUCAAGAAUGGAUCCUUCUGCUCACUGGCCAUGGGUCGUCAUCUCUACGGCUGAUGACGGCGAUUCGUAAAAUGAAAAGGAAAAGAACAAAACUCUGGCCUUUCGGAACACCACGAGUGGUGACGAUGGCGAAACCACACAGUAAACGACCAGAGCUGUUCUCCAACCUGUGAACAACGACCGAACAAAUGACGAUGAACAAAUGAACAAACUCACCUCUGACCUCACAUGACCUCUAUUGCCUGCCAGAUGACCCCUCUCACCCCUUCAGAAGAGGCCGUGACCCCAUGUCGAGUGUGUGACCACUUCUAUUACUGUAUAGUAUUUCCUCUGCAUUCACCGUUGGCAAUGCUGUUCGUCAUUAAAUAUUUCUUUUUAAUAUCAAAGUUUUUAAAUAAUUAUGUCGUUUUCUUGUAUUUGAUAUAUAAUUUAAGUAUUUUAUUUCUCUCGAAUUUAUACUUUAUUUAAUUUCUAAUAUUUCAUGAGAUGAGAUUAGAACCAUUUAACUAUCUGUAUCUCGUAUCUUAUAUAUAGAUAUUAUUUUUAUAAAUGUAUCCUAUAAUAUAUAUAUAUAUUUGCAUAUGUUUGUGUGUCUGUCAGUCCAAGACAAUAUGGCUGCAAGACAUUCAUAAUUUGAUCCAUAUAUUUGUGGAGCCUUUUCUUGAAGACAAUCGUCGUUAUAUUUAUUAUAUAUUUCUUGUAUUCUCUCGCUUUAUCUUGUCUUUAUCAUGUCUAAUCGCUCAAUUUAUCUGUCUAUCCUCACUCAUAAGGAUAACAGAAUAAAUAAUACUAAUUUUCCGGGAUAAUUCAAAGGUUACCGAAUUUUAUAAAUAAUGUUAUUUUCUUCAAUUUUAUCGUAACACUUGGAUAUUUCUUUGUACUUUCUUGAGAAAAAUGUUCUGAAGUGAUUUAAUUCUUGGAUUUAGAGUUAGAUUCACGUAUUAAUUUUUUGUUGCUAAAUGGAUAAAAUUUUAUAUCAUCUCAUCUCUUUUUUUGUUAAAUAUGUAUAAUUUUAUGCCUGUUAUUUUGAACUGUUUAAUCUUUAAGUUACUGUUUUUUUAAGUACGUUAUACAUUCUAAUUAUUUCUUAUAUUUACUUAUUUUUUUAAAGUACGUUAGACAUUCUUAUUAUUUCUUAUAUUCACUAAGUUUACAAUGCAUUUAAUAUAUGUAAACAGAUAUAAUUUGAUCCAUGUAUUUAUAGAGCCUGAAGAAAAAAAAUACAAUUACAAUAAAUAUCGGUUUAAGAUAUGAAUAAUUUCUUCUCUUCUCAUUAUGUAACAUUAAAAAAAAAAUGUUUUAUUUUUCAAACAUUUAUUUUUUGUGAAUAUACUGAUGUGUUUAUGCGCCUUUCGGCCAAUGUGAUAAGAGUCUGUGAUAAUAAAACUCGAAAGCUAUAA